UACAGAGGGUGCAAGCGUUGUUCGGAAUUAUUGGGCGUAAAGAGCUCGUAGGCGGUUUGUCGCGUCUGCCGUGAAAGUCCGGGGCUCAACUCCGGAUCUGCGGUGGGUACGGGCAGACUAGAGUGAUGUAGGGAGACUGGAAUUCCUGGUGUAGCGGUGGAAUGCGCAGAUAUCUGGAGGAACACCGGUGGCGAAGGCGGCGUUCUGGACUGCAACUGACACUGAAACGAAAGCCAGGGAGCAAAGCGGGA
rnacentral:rRNA from 1 species